CCAUUUCGGCUUCUCGACGGUUCACCAUCUCACUGCCGCCACCAGUCUCCUCCCCCUGCAAAGAAAAUCAGCUUGUUAGAUUUAAUUACAUAUUUUCACGGUCAGUGCAUCCUUCAGUUCGUGUUUUUUCCUAUUAACCAAAACCUGGAAAUCCGGCAAACCGGAGGAGGAUAAAAUCUUAUCUUAUCUGGGCAACCAAACACUACUCGUCUCUCCCCCAUUUCAGCUUUGAGCAGAAAAUGGGACAAGAUUUCUAUCGCUGGUGCCAAAGAGUAGAAUGAAACGAGGGAAAAAUCUUUUUAAAAUCACAUUAGAAUCAAGCACCCUUUCUUCCAACUUUCUCUCACUCGGUCUCUUCUUCGUCCUUCCUGAAAAAAAGCGCGUGAGACUGGCCCAUCCGGAUUCAGAAUUCCGUCACUUCUCUCUCGAGCUCGUAGGAGGCUGAGGACGGAAGAAAGAGGACAUUCCAUACAUUGAUUGUGCAAAAUUACCCAUUUCCCAGCCUCGUUGACUUUGGACUUUGUGACACGAUGUAGAACUGGGAAUUUAUUUAGGAAAAAUAUGACUUCAUAAAAUUCUAUUGCCUGCCAAUCUUCUACCCUUUCUCUGAAAAUAAAGGUUCUUUUGAG